GCUCAGUAACACGUGGCUAAUCUGCCCUUAGGACGAGAAUAACCCCGGGAAACUGGGGCUAACUCUCGAUAGGUGAAGAACUCUGGAAUGAGUCUUCACUCAAAAAGCUUCACGUUAUCCUCGUGAAGUCGCCUAAGGAUGAGGCCGCGGCCGAUCAGGUUGUUGGCGAGGUAACGGCUCACCAAGCCUUUUACCGGUGCGGGCCGUGAGAGCGGGAGCCCGGAGAUGGGUACUGAGACAAGGACCCAGGCCCUACGGGGCGCAGCAGUCGCGAAACCUUUGCAAUACACGAAAGUGUGGCAGGGCUAUCCCGAGUGCCAUCCGCUGAGGAAGGCUUUUACCCAGUCUAGAUAGCUGGGGGAAUAAGGAGAGGGCAAGUCUGGUGUCAGCCGCCGCGGUAAUACCAGCUCUCCGAGUGGUGUGGAUGUUUAUUGGGCCUAAAGCAUCCGUAGCUGGCUAGGUCAGUCCCUUGUCAAAUCCACCGAAUUAAUCGUUGGAUCGCGGGGGAUACUGCUUGGCUAGGGGACGAGAGAGGCAGACGGUAUUUUCGGGGUAGGGGUGAAAUCCUAUAAUCCCGGGAAGACCACCAGUGGCGAAGGCUGUCUGCUAGAACGCGCCCGACGGUGAGGGAUGAAAGCUGGGGGAGCGAACCGGAUUAGAUACCCGGGUAGUCCCAGCUGUAAACGAUGCAGACUAGGUGUUUGGACGGCCACGUGCCGUUCUAGUGCCGCAGGGAAGCUGUUAAGUCUGCCGCCUGGGGAGUACGAUCGCAAGAUUGAAACUUAAAGGAAUUGGCGGGGGAGCAC
rnacentral:rRNA from 1 species